CCUACGGGGGGCUGCAGUGAGGGAUAUUGGUCAAUGGGGGAAACCCUGAACCAGCACGCCGCGUGAGGGAAGACGGUUUUCGGAUUGUAAACCUCUGUCCUCUGUGAAGAUAAGGCCGGUAGCAGAGGAGGAAGCUCCGGCUAACUACGUGCCAGCAGCCGCGGUAAUACGUAGGGAGCAAGCGUUGUCCGGAUUUACUGGGUGGAAAGGGUGCGUAGGCGGCCUUGCAAGUCAGAAGUGAAAUCCAUGGGCUUACCCCGUGCACUGCUUUUGAAACUGUCGGGCUUGAGGGCAGUAGCGGCCGGCGGGAUUACCGGUGUAGCGGUGAAAUGCGUAGAGAUCGGGAGGAACACCAGUGGCGAAGGCGGCCUGCUGGGCUUUAACUGACGCUGCCGCACGACAGCGUGGGUAGCAAACAGGAUUAGAUACCCUUGUAGUC
rnacentral:rRNA from 1 species